UACGGGGGGGGCAAGCGUUGUUCGGAAUUACUGGGCGUAAAGGGCUCGUAGGCGGCCAACUAAGUCGGACGUGAAAUCCCUCGGCUUAACCGGGGAACUGCGUCCGAUACUGGAUGGCUUGAGGUUGGGAGAGGGAUGCGGAAUUCCAGGUGUAGCGGUGAAAUGCGUAGAUAUCUGGAGGAACACCGGUGGCGAAGGCGGCAUCCUGGACCAAUCCUGACGCUGAGUGAGCGAAAGCCAGGGGAGCAAACGGG
rnacentral:rRNA from 1 species